AUGCCCAGAGAGCAUGAUACUGUCACUAUUUAUCCCAGCAGCCCUGACAACCUUAAACUCACAUUUCACCUUAGCCAGCAUAAUACCAAUCACCUUACUGGUAUUCGCGGCCUGCGAAGCAGCCCUCAUAUUAGCCUUAUCGACCUAAAAUCACUCAUCGCCUACUCCUCAGUCAGCCACACGGCACUUGUUAUCGCAGCUAUCCUCAUUCAAUAUGGCUUUUCCAAACUUUUAAAGGAUGGUAGUUAUCCAUUGGUCUUAGGAACCAAAAGACUGGUGCAACUCCAAAUAAAAGUAAUAAACCUGUUCUCUUCUUUUGCCCUAAUCACAUUACUAGUACUAAUUAUUCCAAUCAUGAUAACUAGUACAAACUCCUACAAAAGUGAUAAAUACCCAUCAUAUGUAAAAAAAUACCAUCUCAUGUGCUUUCAUUACCCGUCUAAUCCCAACAAUAAUAUUCCUUCAUACAGGCCAAGAAAUAAUCACUUCAAACUGACACUGAAUCACUGUCCAAACCCUUAAAUUGACACUCAGCUUCAGAAUAGAUUAUUUCUCAAUUAUGUUUGUACCAGUGGCAUUGUCUAUCACAUGAUCCAUCAUAGAGUUCUCAAUAUGAUACAUACAUUCAGAUCCUUAUGUCAACCAAUUCUUCAAAUACCUACUCUUCUUCCUCAUUACUAUACUAAUCCUUGUUACAGCCAACAACCUCUUCCAACUUUUUAUUGGGUGAGAGGGGGUAGGAAUCAUAUCUUUCCUACUCAUCGUGUGAUGAUAUGGAAGAACAGACGCAAACACAGCUGCUCUCCAAGCAAUCUUACAUAACCACAUCAGAGAUAUCGGAUUCAUUAUAUCAAUAGCAUGAUUUCUGUCCAACUCAAAGGCAUGAGACCUACAACAAAAUUUUAUACUCGACCUAAAUUCUCUAAACCUCCCCCUCACAGGACUCGUACUAGCCGCAGCCGGAAAAUCAGCCCAAUUUGGACUUCACCCUUGACUCCCUUCAGCAAUAGAUGGUCCUACCCCAGUAUCAGCCCUACUCCACUCAAGCACAAUGGCCAUAGCAGGAAUUUUCCUGCUUAUCCGAUUUUACCCUUUAACAGAAAACAACAUACUCAUUCAAACAAUAACAUUAUGCCUAGGAGCUCUUACCACCCUACUCACAGCUAUAUGCACUCUCACCCAAAACGACAUUAAAAAAAAUUAUCGCUUUCUCUACCUCAAGCCAAUUAGGUCUGAUGAUGGUAACAAUCGGUAUCAACCAACCCCAUCGAGCAUUCUUACAUAUUUGCACACAUGCUUUUUUUAAAGCCAUACUAUUCAUGUGCUCUGGAUCCAUUAUCCACAACCUAAACAACGAGCAAAACAUUCGAAAAAUAGGAGGCCUAUUCAAAACCCUGCCCUUCAUUGCAACAGCGCUUAUCACUGGGUGCCUGGCACUGACAGGAAUGCCUUUUCUCACUGGUUUUUACUCUAAAGACCUAAUCAUCGAAACCACCACCACAUCUUAUACCAACGCCUGAGCCCUAUUAAUAACUCUAAUUGCUACCUCCCUCACAGCCAUCUCUAGCACUCGCAUCAUCUUCUUCACACUACUGGGACAACCCGCUUCUAUACCUCAGCUCCUAUCAAUAAAAACAAUCCCCUCCUAGUUAAUUCUAUCAAACACCUACUAACCGGAAGUAUCUUUGCUGGAUUCAUCAUCUCCAACAACAUUCCCCCAACAACCAUCCCCCUAAUAACCACACCUUUGCACUUAAAACUAACUGCCCUCGUAGUAACAGCUCGGGUUUUGUACUAGCAUUCGAAACCAACCUUAACGCACAAAACUCAAAAUAUACUUACCCUCAAAUUCCUUUAAAUUCUCUACUCUCCUAGGAUAUUUCCCUACCAUCAUACACGGCCUACCUCCCCAUCUAAACCUAUUAAUGAGCCAAAAAUUAGCAACCUCCCUCCUAGACUUAAUCUGACUAGAAACUAUCUUACCAAAGACUAUAGCCUUCAUUCAACUAAAAUCCUCCACACUAAUCUCAAACCAAAAAGACCUUAUUAAACUAUACUUUCUAUCAUUUCUCAUCACCAUCACCCUUAGUAUACUCUUAUUUAAUUACCCCGAGUAAUCUCCAUAAUAAGCACAACACCAAUAAAUAAUGACCAACCAGUAACAAUCACCAACCAAGUACCACAACUAUAUAAUCCACAAUCCCCACAGCCUCCUCACUAAGACACCUAGAGUCACCAGUAUCAGAAAUAACCUAAUCCCCCAACCCAUUAAACUUAAACACAAUUUCCACAUCCUCAUCCUUCAAAAUACAAAACACCAGUAAAAACUCUACUGUUAACCCUAAAAGAAAUGCCCCCAAUACAACCUUAUUAGAAACCCAAACCUCAGGAUAUUGUUCAGCGGCUAUAGCCGUUGUAUAACCAAACACAACUAAUAUGGGGAAUAUUAGUAUGUAAUGUAAUCAUUGAUAUUACAUAAUACAUAUUAUUGAUCGAACAUAGUACAUUAAGUUAAAUCAGUUUAAAUCAACAUGCUUGGAAUCCCGUCCAUUAGACCACGAGCUUAAUCACCAGGCUGCGUGAAACCAUCAACCCGCUCGGCAGGCGUCCCUCUUCUCGCGCCGGGCCCAUAACUUGUGGGGGUUUCUACUGAACUUUAUCAGACACCUGGUUCUUACUUCAGGGCCAUCUCACCUAAAAUCGCCCACUCUUUCCCCUUAAGUAAGACAUCUCGAUGGGUUAAUGACUGAUCAGCCCACGCUCACAUAUAACUGCGAUUUCAUAUAUUUGGUAUUUUCUAUUUUGGGGGGGGUGCAAAGUGCUUAGACUCAGCUAUGACCUUAAAAGGUCUUAACACAGUCAAGCAAAUUGUAGCUGGACCUGGAGUAUUUAUUAAUUGGCAAGAGCAACCUGUGUUGUACAAUCACUUAAUGGUCACAGGACAUAGCACUUUACUAUUCCCCACCCCGGCUUAAAAUAUUUAUCCAUCACAAUAAAUCAACCUCAACCCCCUCCCUAUCAUACCAAUGAGCUACUUAGAUAUUCACCACCCAUAUAGAGAGACAUCCCCCUAGAUUCGCCAGCCAUCUUAUCAAAAAUUUAAUACUAAAUCUGACAUAAGCCACAUAAUACAACCAUACAAACACCAGCUAUGUGCAACAAGUUAAUGUAGCUUAAAUAUUUCCUAAAGCAAGACACUGAAAAUGUCUAGAUGGGCUCACUAGCCCCGUAAACAUAACGGUUUGGUCCCAGCCUUUCUAUUAGUUUUUAAUAGAAUUACACAUGCAAGUAUCCGCACUCCGGUGAGAAUGCCCUCCAAAUCACUAAGAUUGAAAGGAGCAGGUAUCAAGCAUGCUAUACCAGCAGCUCACAACACCUUGCUCAACCACACCCCCAUGGGAGACAGCAGUGAUAAAAAUUAAGCCAUAAAUGGAAGUUUGACUAAGCCAUAUUAAUCUGGUUUGGUAAAUUUCGUGCCAGCCACCGCCGUCAUAUGAUUGACCCAAAUUAAUAGAACUACGGCGUAAAGCGUGUUAAAGAACCAUACAAUAUAAAGUUAAACCUUAAUUAAGGUGUAAAAAACCAUAAUUAAAAUAAAAAUAAACUACUAAAGUGACUUUAACAUAUUCUGAUCACACGAUAGCUAAGACCCAAACUGGGAUUAGAUAUCCCACUACGCUUAGCCCUAAACCCAAAUAAUCAUAAGAACUAGACUAUUCGCCAGAGUACUACUGGCAACAGCUUAAAACUCAAAGGACUUGCUGGUGCUUCACACCUCUCUAGAGGAGCCUGUUCUAUAAUCGAUAAACCCCGAUAAACCUCACCAACCCUUGC